GCGCAGUUCUCUUCGGGAGAGCGGAGCAGCGCGCGCCUGACCAGGCUGACUGGAAACGGUAGCUCUUAACGGUUCCCCGCCCGUCGGUGGCAAGGCGGCUGGACUAGAAUCCCAGCAGACGACAUGCGAGGAGGCGGGCAACCAGGAGUGUUGGGCAGAGCAGUGUGGACCUCGCCGCUUCCACAGCGAUGCUGGCUACUGAUCGCGGGCACCUCCUUGCCAUGGGAAGGAAAUUAAUGUUAUGACUGGAUAAAGUCAAUUAUGAAGAAACUGCACUUCGAGGUUGUCUAUCUCCAUAUUCUGAUGGAAAAGCACGGAAUUUAGAAGCAUUGCUCACUCCUUCAGUUUCUAACAAGCCAGUUCUUGGAGAUACUAGGAAGCCAAGAGUUCCCUCCAAGAAUGGAGAUUCCUUGGAAGUGAGGUUCACCUUGAGUCAAGAAAGAUGAAUCACAUGUGGUCAAAGGUCAUUCAGGGUCUCAAGAACAGCCAGAAAGAAGAGCUGGGGCCGACGGGAUUGUGGGGGUCCUCUCUCCCUCUCUCCCACCUGAAAAGCUACUGCUGCCUGCCAAUCCUCUCAAGAGGAGACCUCUCUGGGCUCCAGCACCUAAAACAGACAAACCUGGGAGGAUGCUUCUCUCUUCUGUGUCACACGUGUCCUGGAGAAAACCAGUGUAUCUGAAUGACCAAAGAAAAGUGUGAGAAAAAGUGCAAAAUCUGUGCCAGGCCAUUCAGUGUCUGGAUGGGGCUCUGUGGUACACAUGCAUUCCAAGAAGAUUGGAGAGUGCCAAGCCUGUGGGAAAUGUCCCUCAGACCUGCCUCUCACACCCGGAGUAUGACUGCCGGUCCAGGUUCAUGAUGCAGAACUGUCUUUAAAAGGUGACUGCGGAUAUGGAGAGAGGGAUUUCUAACCCUGAUAGAACAUGACCAGCUCUCCCGCUGGGGAAAGCCACAUCCACCAGUGACAUGCUGCUCAAACUGGCCCAGGACACACUCUACUACCUAAGGAAUAAGCCCCACAUUUGCUCUUUGUGGGUGAAAGGAGAGGGUGAGAGAGGAGAGGAGUGUCCGCACAGACAUGAGAAGCCUGCAGAUCCAGAUGACCCCUUGCUGAUCAGAAUAUGAAAGAUCGACUUGUGAAAACAAUGACCCCAUAGCAGACAGAUAAGCUUCUAGAGCAGGCUUCAACUAUGCGUCAUCCAGACCCACUGGCGGAGAAGUCUGCCCCCACUCUAUGUUGAUGGUCUGGGGGAUACCAUUACUGAGACAGAUUUAAGAAAUAAUCUACCUGUUGGUGAGAUCUGGAUGGUCACUGUUGUGCAGAGACAGCAGUGUGCUCUCAUCAGCUUUCCACAGGGCAGGCUGCAGAAAUGGCCACUGAGAAGUCCUUUUGUAAAUUCAUUGUCCAUGACUGCAGACUCACCAUCAAAUGGAAGAAGAUUCCAAGCUCUCAAAGAAAAGGAAAAAGAGAAGGAUGGAACUGCAGACUCUGGGAUCCUGCCAGAGCCUAUUUCAGUGCUGCCAGGAGCUCCUUCUCCCCCUGCAGCUCUGGUCUCCACCUUGGAGCCUCCUUCCAAGGAGUGAGACUACCUUUCUGACUUUUUCUGACCAUAGAAAACUUUUCUGACUUUUUCUGUCCUUGGCACCUGCUGAGGACAGCAGACCCAGGGACCCAGUCUCCUGGGCCCAUUCUUGCCCAGCUUCUUCUUGAUCGUGUGACUUGAAGGCAUUCCUGUGCAGUGGAAGCAGGGCCCCAGGACCAUGUGAUAGAUCGAAGGUCUCUGGCUUCUGCCCCACUGAUGGUCAGAUGGUGGCCACUCAGGGUGCAGGAGUCCAGCCAUCGCUGCUUCCUUGAGUUGAAGAGGUUGGAGGCUGGUCCACCUGCUCCUAUCCCACCCUCAGCGAUGUGGAUGGUUGCUCCUUGAGCCUGGUAAAGUCUCUGCCUUGGCCUUGCCAGGCAUGCCCUGACUUGGAGGGCCCUGCGUACCCACACACUACUUUAAGGGGCUUGCCCUUCCUUGGGCCAAAUUCUAAUUUUGGCCAGUGCCCCGGGAAGCUCAGUCCCCCGUUAUCUUGGCUAUUUCUGGGGCUCCCAUGGUUCUCCUGGGUCCCUUUUCUCCCAGGGCUUGGGCUGGGCUGGGCAUCUGUAGGUCUGGGAUGUUUGCCCUGUGAGUGAGGCUCUGUCACACAAGUGGGCAGGCAUGGGGACAUGUGAUAGGCACUGGCUGGCUGGGGCUCUGCAGAUGCCACAGUCCUUCUGCCCUCCAGCAGCCUCUGAGUUCAGCUUCCCCAUUGACACUGAUUUCACCCAGCUGAGGAGCUGUCUGGGGUUGUCUGGGUGCUGUCUUGGCUCCUUUAAGGCUGUGCAGCUCGGUGGCCCCUGAGAAAGGUCAGGUCCAGGUGCCACCAUGCAAGGGGAGUAUCUAUGGCCCUGCCGCUGGGGUUUCGGUGGGCUGGGCAAGGCCGGGUUGUGGGGGCCCUGAUGGGGUUCAGGGCCAGGGCCUGUCCUAUGGUCCUGGGGGUGUCCAGGGAAGAUGAAAGAACAAGGGUUCAGCAUCCCUGCUCAAAGCUGCACUGUGGACACCAUGAGCCCCAGAUGUCGAGAUCCAUGGGGAGUCUGGGAGAGAAUUUCAACACAGAACUCACCAAAAAUCCCAUGGUCUAUCCUGAGAUGGGAACAGACUUGCCACAUCUUGAGCCACUGGGCCCCCAGAGAGUGACCUGCUGUCCUGGGCUCUACAGAAUUCUCAUGCUGCUGGGCCUUGGCCUCAGGUCAGCUUCUGGGCUUCUGGAGCUGGGCUGGUGGGCCAGCCUGUCCCCCUUGGGAAGGGUCUCCAUGCUGAGGGACACCCGCAGAGGCCUGGGUGCCACAGACACUUGCUCCAGAACCAGGGCCUUCCUAGGGAUCUUUGUAUGUUUAGCUGAAUGGAAAGCAAACUUGGUCCACUUCUCCCCCAAA